AUGCAGGAUAAGUUACAAUGCAGCGUGUUCAGUACUGUAUUGUCGUUCCCCCUGCAAACAGUAACCUGUUUCCUCGCUAUCCCUGUCUGUCACUUCCUGUUGACUGACAGGGACGUAAGGUUUCAGACAU
ensembl:snoRNA SNORA63 Small nucleolar RNA SNORA63